CCUACGUGAGGCAGCAGUGAGGAAUAUUGGUCACUGGGCGGAAGCCUGAACCAGCCCAUCAGCGUGCAGGAUGACGGCCCUACGGGUUGUAAACUGCUUUUAUACGGGAAUAACGCGCCUUACGUGUAGGGCUUUGCAUGUACCGUAUCAUUAAGGACCGGCUAAUUCUGUGCCAGCAGCCGCGGUAAUACGGAGGGUCCGGGCGUUAUCCGGAUUUAUUGGGGUUAAAGGGAGCGUAGGCCGCAUGUCAAGCGUGCUGUGAAAUGUCCGGGCUGAACCCGGGCCUUGCAGCGCCAACUGGCGUGCUUGAGUCCGCGGAGAGCAGGCGGAAUUCGUGGUGUAGCGGUGAAAUGCUUAGAUAUGACGAAGAACCCCGAUUGCGAAGGCAGCUUGCUGCAGCGGAACUGACGCUGAUGCUCGAAAGCGCGGGUAUCGAACAGGAUUAGAUACCCUAGUAGUC
rnacentral:rRNA from 1 species